GAUUGAACGCUAGCGGCAUGCUUAACACAUGCAAGUCGAACGGCAGCGCGAGGAGCUUGCUCCUUGGCGGCGAGUGGCGGACGGGUGAGUAACGCGUAGGAAUCUACCUUAUAGUGGGGGAUAACUCGAGGAAACUCGAGGUAAUACCGCAUAAUCUCUAUGGAGCAAAGCGGGGGAUCUUCGGACCUCGUGCUAUUAGAUGAGCCUGCGUCGGAUUAGCUUGUUGGUGGGGUAAAGGCCUACCAAGGCGACGAUCCGUAGCUGGUCUGAGAGGACGAUCAGCCACACUGGGACUGAGACACGGCCCAGACUCCUACGGGAGGCAGCAGUGGGGAAUAUUGGACAAUGGGGGAAACCCUGAUCCAGCAAUGCCGCGUGUGUGAAGAAGGCCUUAGGGUUGUAAAGCACUUUCAGCGGGGAAGAAAGGCUUAAGUUUAAUAGACUUGAGAGUUGACGUUACCCGAAGAAGAAGCACUGGCUAACUCUGUGCCAGCAGCCGCGGUAAUACAGAGAGUGCGAGCGUUAAUCGGAAUUACUGGGCGUAAAGCGUGCGUAGGUGGAUAUUUAGUCGGAUGUGAAAGCCCUGGGCUUAACCUGGGAACUGCAUUCGAUACUGGACAUCUAGAGUAUAGUAGAGGGAAGUUGGAAUUUCCGGUGUAGCGGUGAAAUGCGUAGAUAUCGGAAGGAACACCAGUGGCGAAGGCGACUUCCUGGACUAAUACUGACACUGAGGGGCGAAAGCGUGGGGAGCGAACAGGAUUAGAUCCCUGGUAGUCCACGCCGUCAACGAUGAGAACUAGCUGUUGGGAGGGUUACCUCUUAGUGUCGAAGCUAACGCGUUAAGUUCUCCGCCUGGGGAGUACGGCCGCAAGGUUAAAACUUAAAGGAAUUGACGGGGGCCCGCACAAGCGGUGGAGCAUGUGGUUUAAUUCGAUGCAACGCGAAGAACCUUACCUACUCUUGACAUCCUUGGAAUCCUCUAGAGAUAGAGGAGUGCCUUCGGGAGCCAAGAGACAGGUGCUGCAUGGCUGUCGUCAGCUCGUGUCGUGAGAUGUUGGGUUAAGUCCCGUAACGAGCGCAACCCUUAUCCUUAGUUACCAGCGGUUCGGCCGGGAACUCUAAGGAGACUGCCGGUGAUAAACCGGAGGAAGGUGGGGAUGAUGUCAAGUCAGCAUGGCCCUUAUGGGUAGGGCUACACACGUGCUACAAUGGCCGGUACAAAGGGUUGCCAAGCCGCGAGGUGGAGCUAAUCCCAGAAAGCUGCUCGUAGUCCGGAUUGGAGUCUGCAACUCGACUCCAUGAAGUCGGAAUCGCUAGUAAUCGUGAAUCAGCAUGUCACGGUGAAUACGUUCCCGGGCCUUGUACACACCGCC
rnacentral:rRNA from 1 species